CGGCGGACGGGUGAGGAACACGUAGGAAUCCACCCUCAAGCGGGGGACAACCAAGGGAAACUUUGGCUAAUACCGCAUAAUCUCGAGAGAGUAAAGCUGCCCGCAAGGGUGGCACUUGAGGAGGAGCCUGCGUCCGAUUAGCUAGUUGGUGGGGUAAGAGCCCACCAAGGCGAUGAUCGGUAACUGGUCUGAGAGGACGACCAGUCACACUGGGACUGAGACACGGCCCAGACUCCUACGGGAGGCAGCAGUGGGGAAUCUUGGACAAUGGGGGCAACCCUGAUCCAGCGAUGCCGCGUGAGUGAAGAAGGCCCUCGGGUCGUAAAGCUCUUUAGGCUGGGAAGAAGUGUGGUGGCUGAAUAAUCCAUCAUGUUGACGGUACCAGCAGAAUAAGCACCGGCAAACUCUGUGCCAGCAGCCGCGGUAAUACAGAGGGUGCGAGCGUUAAUCGGAGUUACUGGGCGUAAAGGGCGCGUAGGCGGAUUGGUGUGUGUGAUGUGAAAGCCCCGGGCUUAACCUGGGAAGCGCAUCGCAACUACCGAUCUGGAGUAUAUGAGAGGGUGGCGGAAUUUCCGGUGUAGCGGUGAAAUGCGUAGAGAUCGGAAGGAACGUCAAUGGCGAAGGCAGCCACCUGGCAUAAUACUGACGCUGAGGCGCGAAAGCGUGGGGAGCGAACAGGAUUAGAUACCCUGGUAGUCCACGCUGUAAACGAUGAGGACUAAAUGUUGGUAGGGGAACCUAUCAGUAUUGAAGCUAACGCGAUAAGUCUUCCGCCUGGGAAGUACGGCCGCAAGGUUGAAACUCAAGGAAUUGACGGGGGCCCGCACAGCGGUGGAGCAUGUGGUUUAAUUCG
rnacentral:rRNA from 1 species